rnacentral:rRNA from 1 species
CAGCAGCCGCGGUAAUACGGAGGGUGCAAGCGUUAAUCGGAAUUACUGGGCGCAAAGCGCACGCAGGCGGUUUGUUAAGUCAGAUGUGAAAUCCCCGAGCUUAACUUGGGAACUGCAUUUGAAACUGGCAAGCUAGAGUCUUGUAGAGGGGGGUAGAAUUCCAGGUGUAGCGGUGAAAUGCGUAGAGAUCUGGAGGAAUACCGGUGGCGAAGGCGGCCCCCUGGACAAAGACUGACGCUCAGGUGCGAAAGCGUGGGGAGCAAACAGGAUUAGAUACCCGCGUAGUCCCUGUCUCUUAUAC